UACAUACUUGUUAUAAUUGUUCUUCUUUUGCCGAAACUAAACAAAAUAAAAAGAAAGAACACAAAGCUAGGGUUCGGCCAAUUUGGAGCUUAACUAAGAUCAAGAACCAAAGAAAUCAGAUUUGGACCGGGGAAAAACGAAAGUUGCCGACUAGUAGCCACGUCCUGUUUUACGACGUCUGAGAUUUUGAAGUCAAGCUGCAAGCUCGGGGAUCGUUAGCCAAGUUCAUCACACUAUCUACUGUUUUGGUACCUUUAAACUAAACUUGAAUUAUGGCAUGUAUAGUCUGGUUUUGAGGUUAAAUAUUUUGGAAAUGAAUGUAUAUAUAUGCCAUGUGAAAAUGGCUUAAUCAUCUUGCUUGGGAUUGGUUAUGUUUGCUUGUGGUUUGUGUUCAUUUUAGCUAUGGUAUUUUGUACUAUAAAUGAGUAGUAUUUAUGCUA